rnacentral:misc_RNA from 1 species
GAUGAAGAACGUAGCGAACUGCGAUAAGUAAUGUGAAUUGCAGAAUUCAGUGAAUCAUCGAGUCUUUGAACGCACAUUGCGCCCCCUGGCAUUCCGGGGGGCAUGCCUGUCCGAGCGUCAUUGCUGCCCUUCAAGCCCGGCUUGUGUGUUGGGUCGUCGUCCCCCCCGGGGGACGGGCCCGAAAGGCAGCGGCGGCACCGCGUCCGGUCCUCGAGCGUAUGGGGCUUUGUCACCCGCUCGAUUAGGGCCGGCCGGGCGCCAGCCGGCGUCUCCAACCUUCUAUUUUUCCAGGUUGACCUCGGAUCAGGUAGGGAUACCCGCUGAACUUAAGCAUAUCACUAAGCGGAGGA